GACUACCGGGGUAUCUAAGCCUGUUUGCUCCCCACACUUUCGCGCAUCAGUGUCAGUUACGGACCAGGAGACCGCCUUCGCUACCGGUGUUCUUCAUGAUAUCUACACAUUUCACCGCUACACCAUGAAUUCCAUCUCCCUCUGCCGCACUCAAGAUCCCCAGUAUCGAAGGCAAUUCCGCAGUUAAGCUGCGGGAUUUCACCACCGACUUAGGAACCCACCUACACGCCCUUUACACCCAGUAAUUCCGGACAACGCUCGGAUCCUACGUAUUACCGCGGCUGCUGGCACGUAGUUAGCCGAUCCUUAUUCGCAGGGUACGGUCAAUCCCGCGUAUAGCGAGACGUUCAUCCCCUGCAAAAGAGGUUUACAUCCUAACGGACUUCAUCCCUCACGCGGCGUCGCUGCGUCAGCCUUUCGCCCAUUGCGCAAUAUUCCUCACUGCUGCCCCCCGUAGG
rnacentral:rRNA from 1 species